rnacentral:siRNA from 1 species
UGGCACUACAAUGGCUUCUGUUA